AAACAUUGGCAGGAAAGAUGCCAUAAUCACAAAGGUGGUUUCCUCAGAGAGGCUCAUCCAUUGCACUCUGGAUGUGCUGACCCCCGUGAUUUCCCCAAAUGUGGAAAACUUGACUUCAUUAUUUGUGGUAGUGGGAGGGGACUGCGUUUGUGCUCUUUCCUA